AAGAAGAUCAUUUUUCAGUUUUUUGAUACAAUAUUUUGACUCUUUAUCUUAUUUGAAAUUUUUUUGUGAUUAAUAUUUUUAUUCUUACUAGAUGAUAAAACAUGAAUAGUACUUUAUGUAUGACUAUUUUUUUAGUUUUUGUGAAAAUUUUCAAAUAAGAUGAAUGACCAAACGUUGGACACGGAAAA
rnacentral:pre_miRNA from 1 species